rnacentral:rRNA from 1 species
CCUACGGGCGGCUGCAGUGGGGAAUAUUGCACAAUGGGCGCAAGCCUGAUGCAGCCAUGCCGCGUGUGUGAAGAAGGCCUUCGGGUUGUGAAGCACUUUCGGCGGGGAGGAAGGCGGUGAGGUUAAUAACCUCAUCGAUUGACGUUACCCGCAGAAGAAGCACCGGCUAACUCCGUGCCAGCAGCCGCGGUAAUACGGAGGGUGCAAGCGUUAAUCGGAAUUACUGGGCGUAAAGCGCACGCAGGCGGUCUGUCAAGUCGGAUGUGAAAUCCCCGGGCUCAACCUGGGAACUGCAUUCGAAACUGGCAGGCUAGAGUCUUGUAGAGGGGGGUAGAAUUCCAGGUGUAGCGGUGAAAUGCGUAGAGAUCUGGAGGAAUACCGGUGGCGAAGGCGGCCCCCUGGACAAAGACUGACGCUCAGGUGCGAAAGCGUGGGGAGCAAACAGGAUUAGAUACCCUUGUAGUC